CGGCGUGCCUAACACAUGCAAGUCGAGCGAGGAGAUCCUCGGGAUGAUCCUAGCGGCGGACGGGUGAGUAACACGUGGGCAACCUGCCUCAUAGAGAGGAAUAGCCUUCCGAAAGGGAGAUUAAUACCUCAUAACAUUGCAGUUUCGCAUGGAACAGCAAUUAAAGGAGUAAUCCGCUAUGAGAUGGGCCCGCGGCGCAUUAGCUAGUUGGUGAGGUAACGGCUCACCAAGGCGACGAUGCGUAGCCGACCUGAGAGGGUGAUCGGCCACAUUGGGACUGAGACACGGCCCAGACUCCUACGGGAGGCAGCAGUGGGGAAUAUUGCACAAUGGGGGAAACCCUGAUGCAGCCAACGCCGCGUGAGUGAUGACGGCCUUCGGGUUGUAAAGCUCUGUCUUCAGGGACGAUAAUGACGGUACCUGAGGAGGAAGCCACGGCUAACUACGUGCCAGCAGCAGC
rnacentral:rRNA from 1 species